AUUGAACGCUGGCGGCAGGCUUAACACAUGCAAGUCGAACGAGCGGCGGACGGGUGAGUAAUGUCUGGGAAACUGCCUGAUGGAGGGGGAUAACUACUGGAAACGGUAGCUAAUACCGCAUACCAUCGGAUGUGCCCAGAUGGGUUUAGCUAGUAGGUGGGGUAAAGGCUCACCUAGGCGACGAUCCCUAGCUGGUCUGCGAGGAUUACCAGCCACACUGGAACUAAGACACGGUCCAGACUCCUACGGGAGGCAGCAGUGGGGAAUAUUGCACAAUGGGCGCAAGCCUGAUGCAGCCAUGCCGCGUGUAUGAAGAAGGCCUUCGGGUUGUAAAGCACUUUCAGCGAGGAGGCGUUACCCGCAGAAGAAGCACCGGCUAACUCCGUGCCAGCAGCCGCGGUAAUUC
rnacentral:rRNA from 1 species